rnacentral:rRNA from 1 species
AUGGGCGUCGCAACGGUAAGAAAUUCCCCUGUCCGCCCCCAAUCCAAGACGGAAGCACCGCACCGCAGCCGACCCCGCAUUGAUGCCUACCCCUGCCCCUGCCCGCUCCGGAUCCUUCCAUCCAUCACCAGCUCCACUUUCCUUCUAUUUCCGCCGCCACGCCACGCCACGCGCCCCUCGGCCAAGGACAAGGCUCCGGCCGCCGCCACCGCCUCUGCCCCGGCUAUAAAGCCGCGCCCUUUGGCCGCUCCGCCCCUCCUCCUCCUCUCUUCCUCCGCGCCGCGCCUUCCUCCUCCUCGCCGCGCCCUGCCCGGUCCGCUCCCCCUCCUCCUCUCUUCGUCCGGGCGGUGCCUCUCUCCUCCGACCUCCCCGCCGCGCUCCGGCCGGCCCACUGCUCCUCCUCCGCCCUUCGUCCGGGCCGCGCUCCUCGAGCCGGGUUUCAUCUUGCUCGCCCUCCUCGAUCGAUUUUGCCCGUCUAGAAUCGCGUCUGGAUUUGAUUUUGCUCGUCCUUUUGCCCGUUUAGAGUCGCGUCCGGAUUUGACUUUGCUCGCCGUCGCCGCCCCGCCUGAUUUGAUUUUGCUCGUUCUCGCCGUCAGUCGCUCGCUUCUGAUUUGGUUCUGCUCGUCCACGCCGUCGUCCGUUUACGUUUUUGCUCGUUCUCGCCGUUGCCCCGACGCGCCCGCAUGUUCUUGGUCCGUCUCGUCGAGGGUCUCCGUCUGGUUUGCGAUUCAGAAAUUUCUGCGUGUGCUUCUGUUGUCUGAGAGACGCUUUGGAUCCUGCGUUUCUUCGCGUUCGUGUCGGCGCGAGCGUUGCAGGAACGGUCGGGUCUUGGUUUUGAAAUUGGAUUACGGGCCGGAGAUGGAGAGGCGGAGAGCAAUUUUGUCAGUUUGUCGUGCUAGUUCAGAUCGGUUCCUAGGCUCCUGCGUUGACAAGCUUUCUGUUUGUACCCCCUAUCUAUGUUUGUUUCUCUGUGUGUUUCUUGUGUGCAAGUGCUCCAUUUGUCGUCUCCCCAUAUAUGGGGAUGUGUUGAGGGAUGCAAACCAUGUAGGCCGUUUCGAGCAGGCAGGGAUCCAGAGACACUGUGCAGUCCCAAAAUGCCUAUUUAGCCAUGGUUUCCUUGUUCACUUCACAAGUAUUCAUGUUGAUACUCACCUCUACAGUCAUACAAACUGGCAUGCCAAGGACUGCUCAGGGUUCCUAUCGCUUUCUGUUUUACCAACUAAGACUCUGAAAUUUGGUGAUAAAGAAAAGAAUCCAGGGUGGAUGGAGGUUUUCAUGAUGGCUCUGAUGGUGUGCUUCUUGUGUUUGAACCGAAGUCGUGGAUCGCUCAUCAACCUGGUCUGUGUUUGUAUGCUGAAUUAUUUCCGGAUAGGACAGAAGUGCAAUGUUUACAUCCAUGGCAGAAGGUUCUUUAACACUGAACUCAUCAAAGGUCCUUGGACUCAAGAGGAAGAUGACAAAAUUAUUGACCUUAUAAACAAGUAUGGACUAACAAAAUGGUCGCAUUGCAAGGUAAACACACUGGUAACAAUUCUCUGUCGAUGCAUUGCAGGUCAGCUACCAGAACUUCCUGCUGCUGAUCCUGGGAUGUUUCCGAACAUGCUCCCGAACACGUUCAAUUUAUCCGCUCUAGGACAGGUUACUCGGCAUUCUCGGCGUGUUUACUUUGGUGGACUUCCUCCGAUCGCUAAUGAACAGUCCGUGCUAACUAUUUUGUUCUUCUUUCUGCAGACGGUUGCUCUAUUCUUCAAUCAAGUUGUGGCUGCUAUCGGGGGAAACACAUUUGGUCUAGGUGAUGCAGUUGUUAAUAUGAAGCUGAUUUUUGAAUUCAUUCAAAACAUCAUAGUUGUUAAUAUGAAGCUGAUUUUUGAAUUUAUUCAAAACAUCUUAGGUGGCAUAAUCAUCUGA